rnacentral:rRNA from 1 species
UACGGGGGGGGCAAGCGUUGUUCGGAAUUACUGGGCGUAAAGGGCUCGUAGGCGGCCAACUAAGUCAGACGUGAAAUCCCUCGGCUCGAACCGGGGAACUGCCGUCUGAUACUGGAUGGCUUGAAUCCGGGAGAGGGAUGCGGAAUUCCGAGGUGUAGCGGUGAAAUGCGUAGAUAUCUGGAGGAAUACCGGUGGCGAAGGCGGCAUCCUGGACCGACAUUGACGCUGAACGGCGAAAGC